rnacentral:tRNA from 1 species
GCCGAGUAGGCGGCGAGUUGUAGCCUCGUGCACGGGCAAGCGCGCCCCCCGACCAG